rnacentral:lncRNA from 1 species
CCAAUAUGAUUAAGAAUAUAGAUGUACAAAUAAAAUAACCAACCGACAACCCGAUUAGUUAUCAUCUGAAGAAUAUGUGGAUUUUCGAGGGAGGGAAUAUGCGAAUGGGCUUCGGCUUCAUCUUCCUCUUCUACUUCGUCUGGAAGGUUUGGGUAAAUGGUUGACUCCUAGCUUGGAAAUUUGCUCCGGAUGCAAUCUCUACCGGAGUUUGAAUAAAAGAGAACGUUCCUAAAUCAUUCUAAUUUUCUCAGUCGUUCAAGCCCAGCUAGUAUCCAACUACAACGGGCCACGAAGCCCAUUUCAGCCGGAGAACAAAACCACCUUCCUCCAGUUUCAAUUCUCAAUUCUGUCCAGUCUUUCUCUGCAUAUUUACAGUUGCGCACUUGCGAUUUUCAGCUCUACUGAUAAUGGUGCUUUCCAAUUUCAAUGGCGUUGGUGUCGGAUUCGGUGAGCUGGCUGGUUCUCUACGCCUUCUGAAUGUUUUCUCUGCUACUGCUUUCCUUUUUCUUUCUCGCUUGUUAAUUGCAAGUUUAUGUUUCCCGUCCUCAGGUUUUGGAGUUGGAUGUGGCUUUGGCGUUGGAUGGGGUUUUGGGGGUUAGUUUUCCUAUCCUUCAAACCAUUUUUAAUUCCCCCUUCCUUUGAAGCUCUUGCGUUUGGGGGAAAAUCUAUGUGAUUAAGGAAUAAGUUGAUUCUCUCUUGCUGCUGUAAUCAAUUGAUGGUUUGGUGACGAGACUUUGUUCAUGAUUUUUGGUUUGUGCUGUUUGGACAUUACACUUACAUCCCAACGGCCGGUUACUUUCGUGACAGUCGAAAGCUGACUACCUUUGCAUCGAUCAUAUCAGUAGUUCUCACAACUUCAUCAAUUCUGUAGGUGCUAAUUUCCACACACACAAAAAAACUCCUUGAAUAGAGUUCUAUGGAAGGUGAUAUGAUUUCUAUACCCACUGUCGAUUAAUCACGAUUCUGCGGGGAAUUUUGAAGAGAAACAGCUACCCACAAAUAGAUAAUCUUCUUCUUGUUCUGCUUCUUGAUCAGUAACAUGGGCUUCUUCAUUUUGGUUUCUAAAAUUAGUUUCUACAAAUUACAGCUUCAUGUCCAAGCUCCUUGCAUCUUUUGCACUUUGCAUCAGGCCUCUUCCAAUACCUAAAUGCAGGAUGACCUAGUUUACCACAAUGUUUACGAGGAGGAUAAGUUUUCCUUAAGUUCCCACCUUUGUUUUGAUUGUGGCUGCUGCUUGAACCAAUUCCAGAACUUGAGUCUUCAGCAAUAUUCCUCUGAGUAUGUUGAUGCUUAACAAACAGAUCUCCUUCAGUGGCAGACUCUCUGCUCUUGAGCAUGUAAAGCAUUCGAUAAUUGUCUUGCUGCUGUAAUCAAUUGAUGGUUUGGUGACGAUUUCCUAGGCCACUUUCUUCAUGAUUUUGGUUUGUGCUGUUUGGACAUUAUACUGCAUCCUCAACUGCCAAUUACAGUCGAAAGUUAGUUACCUGUGUAUCGAUCAUUUCAGUAGUUGUCAACAACUUCCAAAGCGAGAGUGGAGAAAUAUAGUAUCGCUACUUUUGUGCUUAUCAUUGCGAUAGGAGCCACUGAUAUUGACAGUAAUUUCAACCAGCUACAGGAACUUUGACUUAAGAUAUAUUGGCUUGCUGAUGCGUAGUCAACUAGUCAUCCUUGAACUAUAGUCUAUGAACUCAGAAGUGUGUAGUGAUAUUGCUAAAAUAAAGCUUUCGGUUUGAGGCAGCUUCUACUUUUAUGGUGCUUUGCAAUUUUUGGGGUUUGCCUACAUAUCAGAUACCGUUUGAUGAGCAUUUUCUUCAUCUUUGUUUGCAGGCAUGCCACUGAAUAUGUUGGGCCUUGGUGCAGGUAAAUGAACUCCAAAAAUCUCUGUUUUUUUCCUGUUGUUGCUUGUUCUGAACAAAACAGCCUAUGGUCAAUCGGUACUUGUUGUAUGACUCUCAGCCGUGAUGGUGAAACAGGGGGAGGGUGCGGAGUUGGUCUAGGACUCGGAUGGGGGUUCGGCAGUGCUUUUGGUAGUCACUACAGAUCAUCUAGACUCAAUUUCCAAGGUGAAGAAUUUGAGAAAGAAAGACGAAGCUGGUAACAGCAGCAAGAACAGCAACAGUAAUACCAUAGGCAACAUGAAACACACACGAGAGGUUAGAGCCAACCAGUAGCGGUUUCAUAUUAUUGUAACACUUUACUUUGGACAUGGAAGCCAAUUAUAGAACACUAGUAGCAUGGUCUAAUAUUGUGUCAUAUUCCAGAUGUUCACUUGAAAUCUUGAUGAAAGCCACGCUGCUUUAUCUAUCAUUUUUAUAGAAAACAUUGUUUACAACAGGAUCAAUUUUAUUUAGAAACUGAAGAUCAAAGGAAACGAAACAGAGACUUGAUUCAAGAUCCCAAAGGAACAGGAUCGUACAGAAGACAACAACAACAACAACAAACAGUUCUAAAGAGGCACACUCAGCAUCUGCAAGUUUCAAGGGACAAUCUUGUAACCCUUCACCCUAUCAAUCCAGGAAAUGAAAGAGUUCUUGGAAUUCCUAAACCCCAAAAACCCAUGCUCUUUGCUCUUGUUCAUGCUCGACAGUACAGCCUCCAAAGAAAACAAAACAUCCACAAACCACCAAUUACCAACAUCCUCCAACCUCGUAGGUUCCAGCUGAUUCUGCUUCACAAUCUCUUCCCAAACUGGCCCUUUAUCCUUCAUCAUCUCCUUCAAGCUUAACCUCUUCUCUACAUCCUCCUCAAACCCGUAAUUCUCUAUCCCAAACUGUUCAGCCAAAACUUUCCACAAAUGCUUCCACUUGAACACAUCUGCAUUCACAAUGUUGAAAGCCUCAUUCUUUGCGUAAGGAUCCACGGAAGCCCAUAUCUGAUGCUCAGCAAUCAGAUCAGCAUCGGAAGAAUUGGCGUAACAGUUCCAAGCAUCUUUGGUCCCUGGGAAAAUCAGAGGCAAACCCUCGUGUUUACAUAUCGCGGCGUAAACACAGAGAGUACCAAUCAUGUUCAUCAUACUGUAGGGAGAAAACCCCCAAAUCUGAUCGGGGCGGUGUACGGACCACGUCAAUCCUUCCUUCUUGUCGGCUUCUUCGUACAGGAUGUCCUCCAAAGUGUGGUAGAAAUUGGGCACAUCCAAUCUGGGCAAAUCCUCAGUGAAAGGUGGUUCGUGGGGCUGGAUCUUCCCAAGGGAUUCGAAUGGUCCGACGUAGUGCUUUGCUCCGGUCUGAAGACAGAUGUGCUGGAGGUUGGGGGAGUUCGGGACGACGGCGUCUAGGAGGUUCCGGAACAUUCGGCCGUUAACCUCGCAAUUCUCGGCCUCGGUGGGGCGGCUGCUCCAGGUCACGUAGAAGAUGUGGGUGACGUCAGUGAGCUGAGAGAGCUUUGAUUCGGUGUCGUUUGGGUCGGAGAUGUCGCACUGGAUGUACUCGAUCGGAUGAUCGGCGUUCCAAUUGGGGCGGGGGCGACGAGCGACGCCGUAUACCUUCCAUGGGCCGCCUGGAGUGUCGGGGUGGGCGAGGGAUNNNNNNNNNNNNNNNNNNNNNNNNNNNACGGCUAGGCUGUUGCCUACGAUUCCGGUGACGCCCACCACCAGGGCGACGCUCUGGUAGCUACGGGGAGCCUCGUCUUCGUCGAGCUUCUUCUGCAAUACAAAUUCAUUGAAGACCCAGUUCAAUUAUAUGAAAAAGAUGAUGAUGAGUGGGGGGGAUUCUGUAGAGUUUACCUUAGCAGCUCCAAUGGCGCCAGCCCACCACCAGCUCAUCUUUGUCUUCUAACUUGGGAUUGAAUUACUGGAGAAAGAUCUUGAGUCAGAAGUUUAGAGAAAGCUUUAAAGCCUGAAGGAGUAGGGAGAUAAGGAGGAGGAGGAGAGUUGUGUUUUUUUACGAUCUCAUCUGGAACGGAUGUGCAGGUAACAAACACGUACCUUUUGGUCAGAAUGGUCAACAACUAGGAUGGGAGACAGAUACAAUAAACCUGGUGGGACCAGCGACUUCUAGAUGGCAUGCCAGAUUGGCGGCACCUGCAACUCCGGUUCCCUUCCGUUCUUGAGGACGUUUUGUUGGGGGGAUGGCGUGUAACUGGCCUUCCCGUCGUGGAUUGCAUGCAUGGGUUAUUACUAUUCUCAUUAGCUAUGGGCUUCGGCCCACUACAACUAUUGGUAGUUAUACUAUUGGGCUUCGGCUAGUACUAUUAUUAUGAAUCAUGUUAGCAUUGGGAUUAGUAUGUUAUAGGAAAUUAGGAAGAGAACUAUAAGUAGCUCGAGAAUCGCUAAUAAAGGGGCUUAGAGCCGUUGACGAGCCAAAUGGAGCUGUGGUUUGCUUAGAGUUGUUUGAAAUAGCCGUUCGAGUUUGGAUCGAUUUGAGUUUGCAAAUCUUACUGAGUUCGAGUUUGGUUCGUUUGUAACUUUUACCAAUUCAAGUUUAAUUUGGAUAAACUCAUAAAACAUUAUAAUAUUCUAAAUGAACACGACUCAUAUAAUCCAAAUAAUCAUUGAAAUAACAUUAUUCAUCACCAUAUUUUUACUUUUUAAUAUAAAAUGAAAACAUUCAAACCGUAAAACAAAUUCACAACCAACACUAAUUUUUAUCUCCACGUCUUUUAUUUUAUCAAUAAUUUCUAUCUCUAAGUCUACCCUCUCUCUCCUUCUUCCAAUAAUAUCUUCCGACUGAUCUACAUUCUUUACUGCCAUGACUUCAAUUUCUCAUUCUUGAUCAUUCCCACCAAACACCAUUCCUCGCUACACAACCAUAUACGCAAAACUAUGGCGACCAAACGUGAAGGAACCAAAGAAUUUCCUUAAGAGUCAAUGAGUCAUAGACUUGGGCAACAACUUGAGCCCGUAGUCACAUGCUCAAAAUCAACACGUGAAAAAUUUGAGUCUUGGACCAUGAGAUUUACGAAAACCCUAUAGGAUAUUAAAAUUUGACCUAAUUCAUUUCGUAUUUUGAAUUUUACUUAUUACAUGUACCCAACCUCGUAUAGGUUCGAGCUUGUCUUAUUAGUUCUUUUUUCCUCAUUGUUGCAUUGCUAGAUGAUUUGUUUGCAAUGACACUAACAUGUACUAAUACUAAAAAUGGUUUUACUUAAGCCGGAGUGUUAACCCACCAAACCUAGGCAAUAGUAGCUCACCAUUAAUUCCUGCUAAAAGAUACCACUGAAAGAAAACGCGCCUUAUAUUUUUGACUUUGCUAACUUACCUAUAGUCUAAAAAAUGACCAAACUCCGGGUGUACACCAGUUCUUAAUCAUUUAAAGAAAUAAUAUGGGGAAACGAUAUCUCAAUUAUGUUUCCACGAAUACAAUUGAUAAUCUUAACAAAUAGGUGAAUAUCAAAAUUAUAAAGAAAAAAGAGAAUAUCCAUACGAUUGCCUUCACAAAAAAUAUACAAAAUACCACAUUUCAAUCUCUGUCAAUAAAAUAUUUAGUUUCGAGAAUACAAAAUAAAUUGACGAAAAUCAUCAGAAAACUCCCCAAGCACUAUAUCUAACAUAGCACGCUACAAAUCAAGGUGUAAAUUAAUUUUAUGGUAUCCUCGAUCCCAAGCUAACCUCAACCAAAAAUUGCUCCGUGCAGUUCGGCCCCAGUAAUUGUAAACUUGUUUAAUAAAGAGUGGCAUUCUUUUCCACCACAUGCUUCCGCAUGCACUAACUAGUUAACGCUAACAGCCAAAACAUCAAAAUAUCACCUGACAUGACGCAACCAUUCCCAGCAUGCAUCAGCUUUUUUCACAGUGAGAUUGAACUGAUGAAGCCUUCGUUUUCUUCUUCUUCUUCUUUGCGUUUAUUGGCCGUCUCAGCUUUCCCCUGCUCCCUUCCUUCCCCAUGAAAUCCUCCAAUGGCUCUUCCACUAUAGUCGAUAACCCUUCAUUCACAUGUCCUGCCCAACACAGACAACGACAAAAGUAAAAAACCAAACAGUUCAUCAGUGUUUCACUUUCCCAUCGACAUGUUUUUCAUGCAUAAGCCAAAAAGAAAAAACACAGUCUGAAAUACCUGAAAUAAUGUCAUCAAUACCCUUUUUUGCCAUCACCAUUCUCAUUAUCAAUCCUUCCAAAUCUUUCAUAUCCUUACUGCUGCUGCUGAUAAUGCUGCUGUACUCUUCCUCCUUUCCAUUACCAAUCCCAUCAUCCUUUUCCAGUUCAGUUUUGGCAGCAGCAUCAGCAAACAGCCACGUGGCAUCCAUCUGCUUGCUCAUCAAACGCACUGCAUUAUAUGGAACUCUGCUUUUUUCAUUGAUACAAUUGUUAAUGAACAUUAAGCAGUCCAUCAAGCUCUCCUUAACCAUCCCUUUCAUGUCAUACCCUUGUGACCUUCUCCACAGGCUCUUCCCGUGCGAGUUACCCCGACUCGACAACGAAAGGGCUCGAGUCGAGUCGCUGAUCGCCCCGUCCGAAUCGCCAGCAACCAAACUACACUGAGCUCUGUUGCUGUACACAACCAUCCUCUCUUUUCUAAACCUUAAUGGACAAAUCUCAAGUGCUUCGCUAUAUUUCACAAACGCUUCCUCAAUCACUCCAGCCCGAAACAUGUGGUUUCCUUGUUGCUUUAUCAACAUAGCCAAUACCUUUCUUUCCUCGACUCUCUCUUCCGACAUCGCUCUCUCCUUUCUCCUUCUAUCCACCUUCAAGCUCCAUACUUGUCGCAAAUCCUGAAGAACUCCCACAUUCGCAUUAUUACCCUUUAGCUUCACUUUCUGCAGUUUGUAGUCUAGAAGGAGAGCUUCUGUGAUUGUUCGACCCACGUUUGAUCUAUGUUCACCGAUGUUUUUAAGUUCGACCAAAUCGAUAAGAAUGGAAGAGGCCAGUUCCAGAACUCUGUACCUAGUUUCUUGGUCUUUGAGAAGUAACAGAAGACAAUCAAUCCCCAUGUACUGCCAAUCAUCCGACGAUCUCGAGAUGUUGCAGAUGUUUUGUAUGACUUGUUUGGAUUGAGAAAUCUUUUUCCUACCAGGUUUAUGGUAACAUAAGAUUCUAAUCAGUCCUAUACCAGCUGGAGAUGAGUGAUUCACUACUCCCCCCCACAUACUACUUAAACUCUCUAGAAAACCAACCUGGCUACAGAUGAGGCUAAUAGUUAUGGACCGCCCUUUCGAAGCGAAGCAAUUCAAUAGAUGAAGCGACCAACACUGUAGUUGGCUGGCCCACUCUUCAGCUUUUGAUCUUGUCAGCAAAUCACAGUGAUACUUCAAUCUCUUGGUCUUGUCCUUCACUCUGAUGAAGUCACGGUGCACCAGAUGAAUUCCAGUGGAAGCCAACUCCAUCGCUACCUUAACCACCUCUUCUUCGAACACAGCUACAGCUUUGAAAGUUGGAUCGUAGCUGGCGAGAUGUCCAAGUGCUCUAACGGCUACUCUUUGUUCAACCCAGCUGAUCUUGCCUCUAAAGAGCUCCAUAAGUGGAGGGAUCACACCCGAUUCAACAGCCAGUUGUGCGUACUCGACCUUGUUCAUGGUGUAAGAACCAAUGACAUGAGCUGCAUAGUAAGGGAUGCACAUGCUCUGCUCAUGAUUUAUAAGCCAAUGAUGAUCACUGGUGUGUUUAUGAACACUUUGGCGAAUCAGAGUGGCCAUGCAGCUGAAGAGGCCUAGUGAUGGCAACUCUGAAUCAUCCGGCUGGUUCAUGGCGAUGCUCCACAGACCAUUCAAGAUACGAACAUUGUCGUGGCUGUCGCUCAGUGUCAUCUCCUUCAAACAACUUGCUAAGCUUUUUCUCCUGGACAAUGAGGACUUGGACUGUCUCAUGGUGCAGAAAAAGCAGCAACAAGUUUGCUGUUCCUGAUCCAUACGGGCUUUCGGAAGAAUGGUAUAUGUGUUUUGAGUGUUGUGUAGAUGAAGAGAAGUGUAUAGUUUGGGAAGGGGACUUGAGUAGUUGAGCUUAGGGUUUCUUUCUUCAUAUGGCUGUAGCUAGUAGUUUCAUAGAUAAAUAAGCUCAGGGCAAGUAAGUGGGGGAGUGGACUAAAAAGGUGCCAUGAUCUAGCAAUUUAAGGCUUCUCUUUUGAACUAGUUUAAUAUUUUUUUAUAAGCUUAUGCUCCUGUUUGUCUACAAGAGUUAAAUUUGAUUUUAAAAGUAGUUUUUGGGUUUACAUGAAGAAUGUCAAUUAUUUAGGCUUGGCAGUUGUAAUUUGAAAAUCAGUAUUUAUUUAAAAUUUGUCUAAUUUGGGUAGGUAAAAACUCGAUUAAUAUGAGUAAUUGAUAUUCAUGGGUGAACUCGAUACUUGUUUAAAACGGUAACGGACAGCGAUGGAUUUGAUAAUAUCCGUCUGAUGGUACGCACCAUAUAUAAACCAAAGCCUAUUGAUAGUUUACUAAAACCCUACCCUCUUAUUUUUCUAUUUUUAUUAUUUUAACUAUAUAGUUCACUAUUUAAUUUAUAUUGGAGUUAUUUCAUUGUUAUUGAAUAUGUCCUUUUUCUUACCAAUAUGAGUUAUUAUAUUUCGACAAUUCUACAAUCUAAAAAUUGAAAAGAAACUCAUUAUAUCUAUUGAAUGAGUAAUUUAUUUUAGUAGGUAGGGAUUACCGACUAAAAAUGUUAAUUCAAAACCUACAAACUAAUAAACACAAUAUACAUAAAUAAAACCCGAUAACUAAACAAACGAAUAAUGAAUAUGCCAAACCCAUCUCAUACCCACCAAUUGGCCUCCGUAUUAAUCAUUUCAUCUAAUUGAGCAACUUUGAACACAGUCAAAUAACAGGGUAGAACAGUCAUUCUCAUGCCUAGAGGCAUGCCAAAUAAAGAAACAAACUAGCUAGAUGAAAACAUAAAAACAUUCUAAAAGUUGCAUCCAUAUUUUAACUUGGUCAGUGAAACUGAAAUGUGUAGCCAAUAGUUGUAAGCAGGUAAGUAUCAAGAAUUCAAACAAAAAAGCUAAGGCUUUGUCCAUGAUUUCCAGGUGCUUCCCACAUUGAAAAAGGCAGAGUGGUCCUUAGCUCUAAUUAGGGCUUAUCAACCCCCCUCCUCGCCUAACCACUUCAGUUCCAGUCCACACCUUUAAUUUCUUCUAUUUUUACUGCACUUUCUUUGUCUAUAUCCCACUUUACAAGGGAUGUUUUGUCUUACUAUGCUGCAAUUCUCGGGAUCAUGUAAGCAAAUAACCAAUUCUUGUAAAAUCUCCUAGGUAAGACAUCCAGAAUACAUCACAACUUGUUGAACUCUGUGUUCCUAGUUUGUUUGUAAAUGACCCAUCAGAACUUCCAGCAAAUGACCCAUGAACAAAAGGGAACUUGGAUCAACCCCAUGCAGAUGUUGUUGAAAAUGCAAAGGUCAACUGGUUCGGUUGGACUCAGCUGAAAAGUCUCUGAUUCUCUCUUUAGAAUCAGUCCACCAAUCGAAGGUUGGGAGAGUAGGGGUGAGGGCCUGAUUUUUAUGGGGAUUUUAGCGUGAGAGCUGACGAACAAACAACUUAAAGAGAGCUUGCAGUCUCAGCAAAAUACAUAUAUUAAUUCAAUUGAACUUCUCUACUCUCUUGGGGAGUUCCCCUCUAGAUAUAAGAGAUUAUAGAUGGGAGAUAGCUUCAAAGGCAAUGGACUAUAAGUCCACGAUCGCGGAUAACUUGUUAUUCUCGGUUUAUGUUCUUAGCUCGUUUACUGUUCUGGUUUUCAUUCCACUUGAUUUGUAUUCGAUCAAUAUUCCUAAUAGACAUGUCAUUAAGCAAAACACUAAUCAACCAGCUGUUAAGGAAAGGUGCUAUAACACCAGGGAUUCAAUACCAUACCAGGCAUAUAUAUCCAAAGGAGUUGGUCAAGUGGCAAGUGAAACACUACAUAUACUAGUUUGGGAUGAAUAAUAUUGAUAUGUUGCUAUCCAUAUAUGAUGUUUCCUAGAAAGCUGAGUGGAAUUCCUGAUGCUGAGACUAUGGAUGCCAGAUAGAUACACAAUUUAAAGCUGCGGAAUAGCCAGACCUUAACCUGCACUGUAGAGUCUUAGCCUGUAAUGUGCUGAUUCUUCCACUUCUCCAACUGGAAAAGUUUUUGAAAAAGCAAAAAAGAAAAGAGCAAGGAAGGAAGGACCACAGCUUGAAAACGGGGCAUUGUCCCCUUCAAAAACCCAGUUACAGGAAGUGGUCCCUGCCUAAUAUUCUUAACUCAGUCAGAGCAGAGCAGCAUCCUCCAACGCUGAAUAUUUCAAGAAUCAUAUAUAGGGGACUUUGGUGAUGAUCACUACUAGCUAGCAACAAAAUCUAAGAACAUGCAUGCGUAGAAAUAAAAGGAUUAACAAAACCAGUUUGGAAGUACAAACCAUUGAAGGUCUCGAGAAUAUGCGGCUGCUAUAUAUAUUAGAUUAAUGCAACUAGAGCCAGAAAAGAAAAGCCUAUGAAACUUCCUUCGUUUCUGGAAGUGGUCGACGGCGGCGCCUAUAUAUUUGGGCCCAUAUCCGCCCGAUGAUUAUUGUAAGGUGUAUGAAUCCUCCUUGGUCCACCAUAUAUGGGCCCAUAUCCGCCCGAAAACAAUGGGUCCAGACGUCUCCAUCCCUGCAAGGGAGGGCCCAAAUUUCUAUUAAUCCCCCUUGCUCCAUCUCUUUCUCUUGUCUCUAUGUUCUGUACUGUAGUGUGUUUCACUUUCAACUAAGAUUCGACAAGCAGCAGACAGUAACAUGUCAUGGCGGAAAACAUUGAUUGCUUAGCUUUUGCCUUUGCCCAUCAUUCAGUCACUCCAACCGUAACUGCAUUACUUGUUCUCAUUCAUAUUAUUGGAAGGAAAAGGAAGGAUCCCAUCCUCCUCUACCCGUCAUUUUCUUCCUCCUCACAUUGCGUUUCAUGUUUCAGCCGACCAGUCCGUGUACCGCCACAGUCUGAUCUUGUCUUGUAAUGGAGAUAAUGAUACAAGAAAAGUGAUCUAGAACCUGGAAUUGGAACAUGUAUGUAAAUGAUGAUGACUAUAGCUCUCUAGUCUAUUUACAAAUUCAAAAGGAUACUUUGAUCCAGUGCUACAUCUUUCCAAUCAUAUCAGUUUUGGGCGUAGUGAUGUCGACAGAUUAGCAAGUGUAAGAUGAAUAAUUGCACCCCCUUCCUACAUUCUACGCGUGAACCAGCCAACACCAUCAUCCUAUGGGAAAAAAGCCCCUUGCAUCAUUCCUUUUUCACCUGUCGGAGUGUUGCUACUGCAUGCCCUCUCUUCGUCCCUUUCCCUGGUUCUCCCUUGUCCACCUGACGUUGUUGGUAGCCUUACCUUCUUGAGUUCUAUCUCUCUCUAAUGGAGCAACUCUUGUUGGGUAGGUUGCAAGAGUCACAUCAGGUUUCGCUACUACCCUUUGAUUUUGAGUCUGUGGUAGCUCACAUGUUUCGCUAACAGAGGCAAAUCUCAACUCAGCUGGUGGGAUAAAGCAAUCCAUUGAUAGUCCUGGGACGUUAAAUGCCACUUCCUCGAUAGCCCACGCUUCUUCCAUUCUCGUCCUGGUGUGACUCAUUGCUGUGUCUCCGAACCUGAAGAGGGUCACCACUGAACGACCUGAAUGGGCAAUCAUAACUCCAUCCACGGGUCUGUAAUCAUCUAGGAAGGAGUUGAUCGUGGUCUCCCAGUAAACAGCAUCACCGCCAUUGUUCUGGAUUCGGGUCAAGUGGGAAUCUUCCAAGUGAACAAGGAGACCUGUCUUCUGGCUGAAGUAACCAAACAGGACAUGCCUUAUUAUCUCAGCUGGUCCUUCACUUCUAGCCUUGAGAGUUGCAGGAUCUGCACAUAUCUUAAGGAUGAAACAGUCAUCGUCAUUGAUCUUCUUCUCACCAGUGCACCUUGCAUUAAUGAACAUACUUGCAGUCGUUCUCGGGUCAAGACCCUGUGCCAAAAGAAGAAAAGCCAAAAUGCAGUAGUAAACCAUAAGCAACAACGUUGAGCUUUUGCAACCAGCAUGAACCUUACUUCCUCCAAGUGCUAGUUCCACAUACCACAUGUCAGGGUUCAUCUGCCACAGCACAAAUCCACCAGACUCUGCAGUUUUGGAAGAACCCCUAUUCUUUAUCACUUUGUUGGCUGUCUCGAAUUCCGAAGCUAUCAUCUUCACUUUUCCCAUUGCAUAUGCAUUGUGGAUGGAACCUUGAAGCCGAUGCCCCCCUGAGGCAGCGGUAUACUGCUGCAAUAUAUAUUGAGCAGACGAGGUUUCCUGCAAUUACACACGAGCAAAAGUCACACCAUAACCUCACUCAGAGAGAAGAGACAUCUACACAGGAUCAGCGAACAUCUAUUCGCUGGGCCAUUCCUUCCAGAAAGAUAGAUACAAAAUGAUUUCAGCUAUACAAAAUUAUUGUUUAUAAGAUGGCCAAUUACAGCUAGAUACACAAUUUUCCUCGUCAACACAAACAAACUACCAAUUAACCAGCAGCCAUGGUUAUAAUCAAGCUGGACGACAAACAAGCAGAAAGCGAACCAUCAGAGAAACGUCAACAAGCAUUAGAUAGAAGUAGAAGAAACAAAAUGCGUCAUUAACAAAAAUAUAUAACUUGCCAAGAAUUACCAAAUUUUAACCUAAUGGCAAAGGCGAACAGAAAUAGAAAACACAGACAAGACAAGUAGAAAUAUUGUGGGUGGGUCGCUCAACACUGUGUCUCAGCCAACAAAAGUCAAGAGAAAUGAAAUGGAAGCAAAAGUAAAGGCGCAAAUUGAGGCAAAGUUUGACCAAUCAAGUCAUCGCAGGUCGAGAAAUGGAGAAAAAAUUUGGAAAAAAAACAAUAGCAGUGGAAGAAAGAAGACUAACGAUUGGAGUAUCUUUUAUGCUUAGGUGAGGCAAUGUCUCCGAACUGCUGACGUGGACAGGAGCUAAUGGCGCACCCAGCACUCCAAGCAGAAGCCUCAGAUCGGACCUCUUGCAACCGUUGUCCGUUGAAGAGGUGGACGGAGCUCUACCCAGCGGGCCUUUCAUCCAGUGUCCCCACCGCCCAUCCAUCCUGCUGGAAUCUCCAACGUCGUCUUGAUCCGGACCUUCCUUCAAAGGAGAAAGCACCUCCGCGGGUCUCAGACUUCCCGAUCUAGCGACGAUAAGUGGCUCCGGGUGGGAGAAGCGGUGGCUGUGUCCCUUCCUCCGCCGUAACAAACUCGACAUUGGCGACGCGCUCCUCGCCGGGCUCUUUGCACGCGACCUGCUCGGAGAAAGUCCUCUGACGACUUCCCCUUUCAACGCCGAGAAGAAACCUUGCUUUCGGUCCAUUUUCUUCACAGUUUAGAAGAGAAGGAAAGCUGGUGUUGGAAGUGGAGAGCAAAUGAAUGCGAAGUGUGCUUGAGCAGAAAACAUAGCUAAUUGAGAAGCUAGCGAGUAAAGCAUGAGAGAGAGUGACAGUGCGUAUUAAUUAAUUAAUUAAAUAAUUGUUUUCAAUGAUUCCAAAACGUCUACAUUUAUGAAUUGUGAUGAGAAACAAAGACAAGGAGCCGAAAACAGAACAAUCUAAUCAUGAACGCUGAUUUUUGGGCCAAAUCAUGAAUUGGUAUUGGGCCAUAAGUCAGGCCCAACUCUUUUUAAUGUGACCGGCAAUUAACAAACCAAUGGAUGAAUACUUGUUGAUCCAUCCAUCAAUUGGUUCAACCGUUUAGAAAAUUAAUGAGGGGUUCCCGAUAUACAUUUAUGGGUCCGGACUUCAUUCGAUAAGAGUGAUAAUCCUCCUUACAUAUCGUUUGACAGAUUGAUUAUUUGUUAGCAACAAAUUUAAUAAUAUAAGUAAACUUUUUUAUAAAGAAAAUAUUGAACGGAACUAAAGCUCAACAACAUAAUAUUUAAGAUACAUAGAAAAGUCAGCUCUAAACGAAAUAAUUAAUUAAUAACUUAAUAUUCAAGGUUUGUAUGUUACUAUUACAUAUAAUAAUUCAAUGUAUACUUCCUACAAUGAAUAUAUGCCUUAGACAAAAUUUGAUAUGCUAGAAAUAUUGUAGAAGACAUUUUUUUUAUUCAAAUUAUAAGAUUUUAUUGUUGUUUUAAACGAAAUGUAUGCUUAUAAUUCUAUUCAGUUAUAUGUUAAGAGUAUUUUUGUGAGCUGUGAAGUCUAAAGUUUGAUCAAAACCCUAAUUAUAAUUGUAUUAAAUUUUGGAUAGAUUUGUUAUUUUAAAUUAAUAUAUAAGCAUAUAUAAUCAAACCCCGAUGGAGAUGGUAAUCCAAAUUCUUGUCAAUUUGCAGGGUGAGUGUUCAAUUCCACCCAACCAUAGUUACUUGUCCACUGAUGUAAUUUCUAUAUUCAAAAAAUAUUGUAGAACGUAUUUCUUAAACCUAACACACAACUCUUAGAUGUUUUCAUUUGGCUGGAAGAUGUGUACUUUGCAACAAUCAGAGUCAGUCCAUUGACCAUCUGUUCCUUAGAUGUGAGUUUUCAAGCUUACUUUGAAGUCGUCUCAGUUCAGCACUUUCCGUCCUAAUCCCGUUUCACAAUGAGGUCUACGAUUUCAUUCUGGCAUGGAAAGAUAUGAACUGUACUUCCAAGUUCAAUGAUGGCAUGAAGGUGUUGCCACGCGCUUUCUUUUGGUGUGUAUGGUUGGAGCGUAAUCAUCGCAUUUUUAGAGAAGAAUUCAGAUCACCGAUUCAGAUUUUGCAUACGAUAUGCUAUAUGAUUGGUAUGUGGAUUGGCAUUUUUUCGAGCACGAUGCUCUCAGAUUGGCAUCAACUGGUGUUUGAUAACGGCUAAGUUUUCUGGGUUGGAAGUAGUAUUGGGUCUGCAGUUUUGUCUACUGCAUUUUGGGGAGUUGAUUUCUCUGUUUUUUGUUAGUGUUUUGAUCCUUGCUGCUUCUUUCUGUGGUGUUUGGUCUUUGGUCGCAGGAGAUUGUUUGUUUGUUUUGCAGUGUUGUUUGCUGCUGCUGUUUCUUCGGAUUGAUGCAAUUUUUGGUUCUCUGCAGCUCUUCCUAUUUUGCUUUUUCCUUGUUAAUUCAUUUGGUUUUGUAAGCUGCCUCAUGCUUGCUUGUAUAUUUUGAGAUAGUGGUGGGUUCAAAUUCAGUCCAAUGUUCCUUUUUAGUACUGGAGAAGCCCACUUUCCUCACCUUUCAGUCUUUCUUCAUCCACCUACCUUUCAUUCCUCUCUCUCUCUCUCUGCUCCCACUCUAUAAAUAUAUCAAGUUUACAACAAACGAUCAAACAUACAUAGAGUUCCUUUGUUCUACCAAUUACCCAUCUGAGCAAUGAAGGCAACACUUCUGAUCAUCUCCCUUCUUCUCAUCACAUCCUCAUCUGUUACUUCUGCUGCUUCUGGUACCUAUACUACUGUUUCACUUUUGAAUUAUCAUAUAUAUUUAGCUGGCUUUUCUCCGGUCUAUAUCAUUACAUGUUAAAAAUUCGUAGGUGAGCCGUCGUGGUGUGAUUCGAAGUGCGGAGUAAGGUGCUCGAAAGCAGGGGUGCAAGAUAGAUGCCUAAAGUACUGUGGAAUUUGCUGUGAAAAAUGUAACUGCGUUCCUUCUGGGACUUAUGGCAACAAGGAUGAGUGUCCUUGCUACAGAGACUUGAACAACUCCAAGGGCAAACCCAAGUGCCCUUAGGCCUUAACUUUCCAUUUAUUCUUUCUUAAUCACUUAGCUUGCCUGCUGUGUUACGAUAUCAUUAACUGGCCCUGCAUGCGCGCGCGCUUACUAUAUAAAAUAAUGUUUAUCGUCAUUUGCCAUCAAAUAUAUAAUUAAUUUGUGUUGCUUCGGGGAAUGGCUAGCUAGUUGUACAAAUGAUCAUGUGAGAUGUGCAGGUGGGGCGUACGAUGUUUACUUACUAACUAGACGGCAAAUUCUAUUUUUGCCUUUGUGGAACUGGAAAAUGUGGUCUCUAUGCACGUUUCUGCCCUAUAUCGUUUCAAUUUUAUCGUAUCUCAAAGAACAUGCAUGUUCUGAUUUUGUAUCGUUUUAAUUUUAUCGUCUCUGAAGAAAAAUGCAUGUUUUCGCUCUGUGUCGUUCCAUUUUUAUCAUCUUUGAAGGAACAUGCAUGUUCCCGCUUUGAUUAACAUAACAGUCGUAAGGAAGACCUUGCUUGCGGUUGAACAGUGGUUGACUUGUGCAGAUGUUCUUAAUCUAAUUAAUUUCUAGAUAAUUACACAAAACAAAUGAGAUUUUGAAAAAAAUAAGAAAACGCAUCACUAAAAUCUCGAUAGAAUCCUAAAAAUCAUGAAAUCAUCUCACCUCUCGUUUCUGUCUUUGCAACCAAAAAAAAAUCUCGUCUUCAACGUAACCGACGCAGAAAACCAGAGCAGCCGACGGCGACGAGACUUCCUUCCUCAAAGACUCUCGCCGCAGGCCGCCCAUUCUACGAUAGAAACAAAUAAAUCUUGCUCGUUCCCGUUCUUUUAUUCUUAGUUUUCCUUAGUUUCCCUAGCGACAGUCCUUUUUUCUUAGUUUUUAUUUUCCUCCUGAUUAGCAUUCACUGUCAAGUAUGAUGCCAAGACCCUUCAAGACCCACCGUUCCAGAAAACUACUACCUUCAACGAUCGGAUAGGAGGCUGCAACAACAUGCAUAGCACAGUCACAACGCAAGAGUUAAGUUUUGUUGAUAAUCGGUAGCUGUUUUCAAAUUUCGUAACCUGUCUCCAUUGAUUGGUCUUACUCGUUUCAGUGAUUGCUUUGUACAAUCUGAUCCAUGUCACAGAUUUUGUAUGAUUUGAUCAAAUGUAUUUUGGAUUAAUGAUAGGAACAAAGUAUAUGAAUCUUUGUUUUUUGGCUGAGAGUUACAGUUUGUGCUUGGCAAUUGAAAAGGGGAAAUUGGUAAAUUAGUAUUUGUGCAAUUUUUUUUAUGUAAUAAUAUGUAAAUUUGUUAAAAUUAUACGGUAGGUUUUAAGGCUAGAGUGACACGAGAAAAUCUUUCCGACAAAAAUGAGUGAAUAAUUAAAUAGAGACAAUGUACCUAAAGAUGAAAGUAUGAAAGUAAAAUAAUAUGUUCCUGAACAGUAAUACUUUAACAAUUAAUAAAAAUAAAAUUAUGGAUAAAAAUUUUUACAUAUUAAUAAUAAGGUAUAACUUCUACUCACCAAAUAAAGUAGGNNNNNNNNNNNNNNNNNNNNNNNNNNNNNNNNNNNNNNNNNNNNNNNNNNNNNNNNNNNNNNNNNNNNNNNNNAAAUACUAAUGUAAACCAUCAAAUAAUCACCAAAAUAUAUCUAACCGCUUCAAAAUAUCAUCACGGUAAGGACAAAAAAAGAGUGUCGUCACUUCAAAUUUUGGAUAAAAAAACAUGAUAGUCAUAUGUCCGUCCAAGUGUCCACGGAAGCCCAAUACGAAGAGGUGUCAAAAAAAAUAAAGAGGUGAAACAAAGUAUUAAUUUUUAUUUAUAACAACUUGUGUCCUAAAACUCCNNNNNNNNNNNNNNNNNNNNNNNNNNNNNNNNNNNNNNNNNNNNNNNNNNNNNNNNNNNNNNNNNNNNNNNAAAAUAAAUAAUAUAAUAUAGGUGUUUAUAUGUUGGAUGUGGCUAAAUUCGAACUCGGUACGUCCAAAUCUCCAAUCACACAACACAACCAACUGUGAUACUCCAUGUGGACUAGUUGUUAUUAAUGAUUGAAAAGUACAAAUUGCUUCGGUGAUAUAACUGUGUGUCUAAUUGAUCCGGAGGUCCAUAGUUCGAAUCCAGCACAUCCCACACAAUGAGUAUCUACGUAGUAUUUAUAAUUUCCUUCUCUUAAAAGGGCAUAUUCACCUCGUCUAUCUAUUAUUUAAAAAACAAAUUGAAACGUUAAGGGGUCUUCGGAAUUAUGUAUCGUAUGGAUGAUAUAUUUGGACCAAUGACUCUUUUUGAAUUCAUAAAUAUUUGGUUUAAAAUAACUCAUUUCACAUUUAAAAUAAAAUUAUGGUAUUACGGAACUAUAAUAGGUAUCUAAAAUACUGCGGCAUUUUAUAUUAUUUAGAUUUCCCGUUUACAAAAUACCACAAACAAGAUAAUUUUCACCCCAUAAAUUUGGCACCUCGUACAUACUUUACAAAUACCAUAUUUUCAAAUAACACAUCUGACGCGAGGGGAAGAAAAACGAGUUUCAUAAUGGUUUGUUGUAUUACCAAGUUAAGUUUGCCUGCCUACAAAUGAUACAAUAAUAAAGAGUGUUUGUCACUCACUCUUAGUCAGUCAGUGAGUCAGACUAGUUCCUAUAUUCAAAUCUCAAAACUUUUCUAUAUUAUACAAACAGCUUGACGAUAUAUCUGUAUAUUGUCCUCCACACCCAAAAUUCACAGCUUCAUAUCUUUUAGUAUGCGUGGGACUUACCCUGGGUGAAAUCUUUCACAACGGCUGAAGUUCUUGCUCCCCAACCAUGCCACCCACUGGUUCAUAUGUACCUAAACUUUGCUGUCUUCGCCUCCACACCAACCACACACCAGCACUCGAUAAUCCAACUACUAUCGUUGCCAAUACCCCAAUUGCCACUCCCACCCAAUGUUGCUCCCACCAUGACCUAAUAUCAUCAUCAAUCAUAUUUAUCACAUCACCUCUCAACAUCAGUAUCUUAUUUAAUAGGGAAAAAGAGAAUGUAGUAACAUACGACUUUCUUUGAGGUUCAGUUCUCCACUCCACCAGCUGAUAGCUUCCAUAUCUCUUUGGAAAUUGAAAUUUAUGCUCCUUUAAUCGAACAAGAAUACUCUAAUAAACCAAAAAAAACCAAAGGCCUCUUAGUCGGAAUCGAAUGUCUGAUAAUCAAUAACUCACAAGUUGCCUUCAAUCUGUAUGUAUUCGGGUGGUUAUGGUUACCAUUGCUGUGCUAUUAGAAAUGUAUUCUUUUGAUGAAGCAGGAUAUAUCGCCCACUUCACCUCGUAUUCUUUCCCUUUUGGAGUUGCAUUCAGCAUGUGCACCUGAGAAUCAAUGCAUAUCCAUCUUCAGUGAAAUGAAAUCGUGAAUUGAGCAUUUGAAUAGUCAAGCAAAUGUCAAGGAUAUGUAUUUCAGCUAAAUGGAGUUUCUAGGUUAGUAUCAGAUUGCGUGGCCCUUUGAGAUUUCAGACGAUUAACUUCCAAAUAUGAGAAAAAUACCAACCACAUUCACAGGGUUUCCAGCAACUUCAACAUAGAAGAAGAAAAGUAGUAUAUCAUACCUGUAAAUGGUCCACUUCCAGCUCAUGAGCAAUGACAUCCGCCACUUCUGUGAGGUUGGGCUUCACGGAAGUGUCGUUGACCAAAAUCAACAUAUCAAAUGUUAUAAUUGCAAUUCUGAAUUCACCUACGCAAUGAUGAAAAAUAAGAUUAGCUAAUUAGGCCUAAUGAAAACGAUAUGGUUGAAGACAAGUCUCCUUAAUGUAGAUUAACAGAUUUAAUAAGUUAACCGAUGAUAGUAUUUUCCUCACAUAUAGAACAUAACCUGAGAAAAAGACAACGCGUAACUAAUAAAAUGUACCUGGAAAGUAGUUUGAAGGCAGCCCGUUUGGUGAUUGAACAGGAGGCACAUUAUCACUUCUAUUACUAGUAUUGUUAAUGUGUAAAGUGCUAGGUGGUGGAGCAGGAGCUCCAGGACCUUGCAUUCUCUUCCAUAGCUCAGAGCAAUUAGUCUUCCAAAAUCCAAUCUUGUCAUUUUCCCGAUCAUAUGUUACAAGCGUAUUCCGAACUAUGAUUCCUGUGGGAGAUAAUCAACAUUAAGGAGACUUGUCUUCGACCAUAUCGUUCUUGGCUGGGAAUGGUUUAGAAUUGAGACAAAGAAGAAUGAAGUUAACUACCUCCUAAAAGAGUGGUCGGGUCCUUUACAUUCUCGAAAAUCCCAAAGCAAUAUGCACCACUAACUUUUGUAUGCUACAUAAGUGAAGGACUAGUGAGGUAGGAUCAAUCAAACAAAGGCAACAACCAAGGGUAACAAGAUAAUACAGACCCCUUCAGACUUACUCGGAAAAGGUAAUUUUCUGGAAACAAUGUCAAUGCUUGACCAUUGCUGAAUACCAUGUCCACCUUUGGAAACUUUUUUGAUAGUUCAGAGACGUCCCUAGAUAACAUUUCAAGCAAACAAAAGCACGGGACGGACUUAGUGUCAACUAUAGGCAGAAAGAUGAAAACACCAAGAUCCAUACUCAUAGAGCAGGUAGAUAGUGAGCAGAUCGGGGGGUUGUUUGGUUUUCUUGUUUUGGUGAGGGUUAAGAGUUUUUUCUCUAUUUUCUCCUCUUUAGUCUUGUAACGUUGUAUUCCUUCUCUCUUGUUGAGAGUCUAAUUCUUUCGAAUGAAACAUAAUGUAUAAAAAAAUGACAUUCAUAAAAGAAUAAGUUAUACCUUCCAGCGCCAGAAAAACAAAUAUCAUUGUAAUUCGGAUCAGGGCCAUGAAUCUGUCUGAGAGAACUAAUUUCCUUCAUUAUCUGCAUUUCAGCAACACAAAACAAAAAGAACAAAAUGAAUCCUAACUGCUUGUUGAUGAAUCAGGAGCACCAUACAAUUCCUUUAAGCAAUUGCACCGGAUGAAUAACUACCUUCCAGUUAAACUGAGGCAUAUAAAUCCGAGGAAAUAGGUGUUGCUCAGAUACUGGGUAACUAGAGGGGGCAAGUUAAGCAAAAGCAGUUCAGUUAUGCUACAAGAAACUACCAACAAUAAUAGAUGAUAAUUCAUCAACAGCAGAAAUUUGAUAAACAUGAACUAUAUAGGUGGGUGCUUGAAAAGUUCCAAACUGAUAUUGGAAGUCCCAAAACAAAUGACAACUGCAUGAACUUACAGACUAAACAUAAAUUCUAACCAGGGAAUACAUAGAGCACCAACCGAUGAACACAACACUGACAUAUAUUCAGCUGCAAAACAACUGCUGCAGCUAAGCAGUGCAUAGAAAAUAAUGCAAGCGGAUAGCAAAACACUAGAGCAACCAUUCGCGGUAUUAUAUAACUACAAAAGUAUAGUUAAUCCAAUGGAAUGGUUUCCAGUACAUGCUCAUUCACCCAAGACAAAUUUUCAUUAGAGCAAACAAUGGAAAUCGCUAGUCAAUUGAAAAAUGAAAAGAGAAUUUAACAAAUAGGCCAACAGAAAUUGCUUACAGCAUCCUUGAGUGGGACGAAUGCUUCUUCAGGAAGGUAAGCAUACGUGGUUCCACUGUCCAAAACUGUCCCAUGCCGGCCAUCAAAGACUUUAGGAUUUAAUUUCAAUGACUUCCCAGCCACCCGCAGGCCCUUCAGCUCAAUAUUGUAAUAUGGACUGUGACAACGCAGAAAUUGUAGUAAAUGUAUGAAACGCACUAAAAUGCUAAUCUAAGAAAAAUCCACAACUGACAUAGCUCUUAAGAGGGCACCGUACCUGCGGUAAGGAUCUGAGUGUGUAAACACCAUGUCAACAGGAGGAGAGAUCCCCCCAAGAACCAUUGCACCACCACCAACGUCCAUCCCACCAUAGCACAAAGAAAACGAAUCACUUAUGACUUUCUUCUCAACUAGUUGAUCCACGAUACUAAGCCGACCACGACCAAGGCCAAUUAUGCCAUCGGCCCUCUGACUGUACAGAUCACCAGUUUCCCUAUUUUCGCAGCCAAACACUGCCCUUUGAGGGUUGAGCUGACUUUCAUUCCCAAAGGAAAUGACGUCUUCAGCAAGCACACCGCUGCUGGAACUCAGCUCUGCAUAUCGUCUCUCAUAAGUGCAUUGCUUUCCUUCGUCAUCACAGUUACAACUGGGGUUACACGUUACAGCCUGGUAUGUGCUAGACAACUCUGGUUGGAACUUUGGAUCCUGGAUGACAAAAUUACUUGCUCUGAAUGAAACAAAUUCAGCCUACUAUUCUGCUUACCCGGAAAUACAGCAUCUCUACAUUCCAGAUCAAAUAAUUGCUACUCGCAAAAUCAGUUAAGAAUCUAUACCUCGUAUCACUUACUAGAACUAAAACUAACUCUAAGACAUCUUCAACUGCAAAGGGAAUCAAGGCGCUCAGAAUAGAACUGCGAAGAGAGCGGAUAAGAGCAAACCUGGUGCUUGCCGCAAUGUUCGCAGCUCGAGCAUGGAACAUAGGUUACUGUACUCCCGGUAUCCACGAUAAGAGCGAAUUCCUGCGGAGGUGACCCUAUAUACAGCCUAGUCGUGUAGUAACUGCAGAACACAGAAGUGGAGGUUUUCAGGUCGAGAAUUAACAAAGUACACCGCGGGGAUUCAAUCGGAAGAUCGGGAAGUUAGUUGAGAGUAACAGCCAGAAGAGUCUCUACUAACCCGUUGGUGAGGAGAUCGUCAUAGAGACGCAUGCGAGCGUUUGGCAGGAGGUCUGAAUUCUGUAGAUGACGUCGGUUAUAGUCAGAUCUCUGGUGAGCAGAUACAUUAGGGAUGGAGAGGUGGAGAGGAAUAAUCAUCGGCGUCCGGAGACUAUCGAUAUCUAAGGUCGCAGAUACGACGCAGUAGAAAUUGAAUGUGAUCAGGACAAAUAGGGAUAGGCAAGACCAUGGUCGAGCCAUUGAGCGCUGUGGAAGAAGCCAGUCAGCCGGUUAAUAGUUUCGAGACGGCGGAGGAAAGAAAGUUCUGCUCCGUCGCCUCCGGCGGAUAGAGUACAGAAAUGGUUGGAGAUGUAGGCCGCUCCGACCAGAAGUUUGAGUUUUUGGAGUUUGUAUCGGCAAAAUUCUCAGUCGCUUUAACGAAUGGGGAGCGAACACGUAGCUUUAGAUUUGUUGGCCGGGAAGAGAUGAGUCAACGCAACUGAAUGGAGAAACUCGACGAGAGAGUGCCCAAAAAAUAAUGGGGUGAGAGAGGCUCGAACUCUCGACCUCAGGAUCACUCAAAUUAGCUAUGAGACCUACGCGCUAACCAACUGCGCCACCACCCCUUUAGUGGUCCAACUUACUUCAAUAGGUAAUUAACUCAAAACAAGCUAACCCCAACCGAUAACAAAAUAUGAUAUUUUAGCCUUGUAACAAAUUGCAAUUUACCGACUCUAAACCAGAGAAAAAUUAAAAUGUUGCCGACUCUAAACCAGAGAAAAAUUAUUUAGUCUUAUAAUUUUAUGUGUACUUCUUAUGAAAUUUAACUUUUCAAGCAUUGAACUUAUGUUUUGGACUUGAAUUCUUUUAUAUUUGGUCAUGAUAAAUUUCAAACAAUAUCUAACACAAAAAAAUUUAUAACUGUAAUCCAUAUUUUUUAUCACUAUCUUUGGUUAAUUAUUGAUACUGCAAUUUACAUAAAUUGAUUAAUUAUUUUUUUAUAGAUGAUGUAAUCACCGUCAGUUUAUCUUUACAUAUAAAUAUCCACUAGUAUCGUCAAUCAUUAGUACUUCAAACAAUUAAAACCAUUCAUCUUAUUUAGAUAAUUUAAUGAUCCAUCACUUCAACUUUAUUCAAAAAUGUUCACUAGCGUACAUAAUUAUUGGUGUUUCAAACAACUUAAACCACUCAUCUUUUAUCGACUACGAACUCAUUCAUCUACAAAAGUAUACUUCUACAAUAUUCACCCAUGCAAGUUCCAUUGGACGUGCACAGCACGCUUGCGGAGCCAGUUUGGCAGAGCGUGUUGCACACCAACGAGCCCAAUUUUUCUUACGUAAGCCACUCUUCUUAAUAGCAAGCUUAUUACAAAGAGGAUACUCACCCUAGGAGGAGCGAACCGGCCCGGGCUGAGCGAGCAGCCUAGUCAGCCUUUUUGUUGCCCGUACGGGAGAUAAAAGACAGAGUAAUAGUUGGGAAAGAAAGGAGAAUUGUGAAAAUGCUACCUAAGAGUCUGUAGCACCUUCAAGGCCAGCGAUGCUUGGGUCCAUGGAUUGCAGAGACGAGCUCUUUAUAGUCCUAAAGAAUGGGGGCAGCCGGAAGUGAAGCAGAGGCGAAGGUAGCAGCUUCAAGGAUUGCACGAGCUUCCUAAAUGAUAGAAGAAGAGCAGUCAAAGGUCCCAACCUGUUCAUACGUUAUGUAUCCUUCUGUAUCAUAAAUAAAAAUACUAUAGGCUGCCUUUGGGAGUCGUUAAGGAACGACCCAUCGCAGUGUAUCACCGGGGCGGCAAUACGUGGCAGUUGACAGGGUAAUAAAAUGGGGUGAGUGGGUGGGCCGGCCGGCGUGAUGAGGGUGAAUCGAGGGGUUGCCUAGGGGAGUAGUCGGGGUCAUCCAGGAUUCGGUGUCACUAUCGAUGCCACAGAUAGUACAAUCUCAGGAAGGAGACGUGUUGUGGAAAAUGAAGUCGUUGUGUGCCUUCCAGAUGUUCCAACAGGCGGCCGAUGUCAUGGUGAUGGAGAGUGCGCCUGGCGAACCGUCUAAACCUGCAAACUACGUGAGGAGGUUCGUCCUGGGAGUUCCCUGGAGGGACCUUGCAUGACGGAGCAAUGUGAGAACAGUGAGUAUACGUAAUAGAGUUUGAGCUCAACGAGAAUGAGACAAAUUUGAACUCUAGGAGAAGGAGAGAGAAUUGUAUAAAAAAAAUUGAGAUGUAUUUAAUUAAUGACUUUGUAACGGCCAACGAUAUCACAUGUUUCCUGUUGAUACAACGAUGAAUUAUCAAUCGACGAGGCCUCACUGCAUGAAACAUUAAAUGCUUAUGAACACUAGGCCUUGCUGGCAUGAAAUACACAUUUACCCGCAUCACAUCUAGCGGAUGGCAACGUUAGGGAGCCGAUCACAGCUCUUCGAGACCACUUUCAGGAUUGCUUUGUUGGUCAUGCUACUUCGGGGGCCGUCAACCCAGUUUGUUGGUCCCUGUUAUUUUGGAGUUCAACAACUUUCAUAACUAGUUGUAGAAUCAUCAAAUUGUGUAUAAGGUCGCUAUAUUAUAUAUGGUUUCAUAUACUCAAUUCUGGUUUCUCGAUUAGUAAAUUGAAAUUCCAACUGCUGAAACAACCCAUUUGUCUCUUCUCCUCCUAUCUCCUUUUUUCAUCUUUGAGAAGGUGACAGAGAAAUCAAAAUGACUACAAGGUUUACUACACAUACAAUAUUAUGCUCAAUUACCUGAUCUGAUCUGAUGUGGGUAGUCUCUACAACUGAUAUACUCUAACAACAGAAACCUAAACCCAAUUCCACAAACAAACACACAAUUUUUGACUCUUAAGGAACCAACCAACCAUGCUAAGAUGAAUGAACAAGACAAGUGUUUCGUUCCUUCAAAACAACAAUCCUAGCAACAUCCUUUUUCCCUUCCACUGUUCAUGGCCUACAUGUAUGGCCAUUGCCUCUUUCCAAACCAAGCAGAGAGCACCUUCUUUCCAUAGAUGUUGCUCCUCAUCAUCGGAGCGUUCCUUUCAACCAGAUCCACCAGGGCCGACCGCACCAUUGGAUUCCGACCCGACUGAAAUUAAACAUCAUUGAUUAUCAAGCAUAACCAUGACAUGAAUAAUUAAUUGUUUGUUUGAAAGCAGCUGUAGUGGAGUUAACCUGAGAAAUGCGGAGUGCUGUUUGGAUGACAAAGUUACCAAAGGGAUCAACAAGCAUCAAAGAAGACUUGGGACUACUAAGCAACUCCAUCAUAACUUGUGUAGAUUGCUCUUCUGUUGUCUCAGUCAAGCACUUCUCCACCACAUUACUACCGUACUUGUUGCACGAGAGAUUCACCAAGUCCCCUUGAAGUUGUGCGAGAAGAGCUGCGUUGAUUUUCUCAACCUUCAACCCCACUAUGUUCUGUACUACGUAGUUGCUAUUGAAAAACAACCAGAUAAUGAUCCACUGUUUCAGUACCAUAACACAGCCAAGCUGAGAAAAAUGAUUGGGGUGUAUUCAGGGAAACAAACCCGUAGCAGUCUUGCGACAAGUGCAGUGCAUUCCCAAUGAUCUCAGAGACAAGGCGAUCUCUGGUCUCUCCUCGAGAGUAUUCAACACAGAUCUGAAGCACACAGCAUCCACUUUUGUCUGUGGCAAUCUCAAAGCAGUUGUCUGCCACCAUGUUCAGAAGGUACUACCAACAAACCAACCAACCAACAAGUGGUUAGAUAUACCCGAUCAUAUGAGAAACAAAGAACCAGAAUCUGAUAAAAACCUUGUUAUCGUCAUGGGAGAAACUCUUCAAGCAAUGCUGGAUAACAUGAUGGCCGUUCAUGUCCUUAGUCAAUGAAAGAGCAGCUCGGCUAAGACUUGGCAUUAUAAUAGAGACUUGAUGUGAAGUAGUGACAUGAUCCAACAACUUCUGUAUAGCACGAGUCCUUCAUAAAACCCCAUACCACAAACAGACAAAUAAACAGAAUAAAAUAAGCACCUUUUCCUCUGUAUACUGUAGAGUGUAGACACCCACCACCAGAAAUUUUUAAUCAUAAUAAUAAUAAUAAUUAACAUGAUUUGCUUUUUCAUAAGCAAAGCAGAACAAGAAGAGUAAAAUUUUAAUAAACACAUACCCAUGAGGGUUGAGACAAAUUCUGAGGAGCUGACUUUCAUUCUUGGUCAAUAUUCUGAGGAUUGCAGUCCUCUGUUCAUCAGAACAGACAUCGAGGAGCUUCUGUACGACGUAGUUGCCGAACUGGUCCAGCAUGAGCUGACCCACAUGAUCUUUCAACUCCAAGAAGACAUGCUCAAUUUCCUCAACUUUCUUGGUCCCAAUCACCCUUUGCAAGCUCCUACAUCCAUGUUGAUCCUGAGCCAUUGAAAGAAUCUGUCCCUUGAAGGAAUCCAGAGAGUUUGACGCCUCGUAUAUAGAAUCAGACCUCCUACUAACGUUGAGAUUAUUAUUAUUAUUGGUGGAAGUAGGAGGAUGAUUACUAUUAGAAGAGCGCCUGCUGUUGGGAAAAUUGGAAGAAGACCUUCUUGGAUUGGCGCUGCUUCUCGCCUGAGAAUCCGACGAAAUCCUAUUGAGGGUCGGUACAGGGUCCUUGUAAGAGAAGUUUCCGUCCCAUAACCUUGGAUCAGCUUCGGCACGCAAGGCAAGCAGACGACGAAGAUAGUAGUCACCAACGCCGCCGAAGCCGCCUCCGGUGGAGGGAGCUGCAUUGGUCUGAUAAUCACGAGCCCUCGAACCCUGAUUGAAAAUCCGAUGAUCAUCGUAAUUGGGGAACCAGCCAACAGAAGAGUGAUUACCUGGCGGGCCAGGAAGAAAUCCUCCGCUGCCCUCGAUGGCGGCCUUAUUCGCGACGAACCCAUUCAAGCCACGGCGGUCCGAGAGGUUGAGGGAAUAAAACAAAGAUUCAAGAGACUCCUGCUGCGGGUGGUGAUUAUUGUAGGGGAAAUCGGCGGCGAGGGACGGGAGGGGAUAGGGUUGAUCAGU